rnacentral:rRNA from 1 species
AACGAACGCUGGCGGCAGGCCUAAUACAUGCAAGUCGAACGGAUGUAGCAAUACAUUAGUGGCGCACGGGUGCCUAACGCGUGGGAACAUACCCUUGAGUAAGGAAUAAUGUCUGGAAACGGACACUAAUAAUUUAUAAUGACUUCGGUCCAAAGAUUCAUCGCGCAAGGAUUGGCCCGCGUCUGAUUAGCUAGUUGGUGAGGUAACGGCUCACCAAGGCUACGAUCAGUAGCUGGUCUGAGAGGAUGGUCAGCCACACUGGGACUGAGACACGGCCCAGACUACUACGGGAGGCAGCAGUAAGGAAUAUUGGACAAUGGGGGAAACCCUGAUCCAGCCAUGCCGCGUGAGUGAAGAAGGCCUUAGGGUUGUAAAGCUCUUUCAAUAGUGAAGAUAAUGACGGUAGCUAUAGAAGAAGCCCCGGCUAAAUUCGUGCCAGCCGCCGCCGUAA